UAGCCUACUAAAACCAACAGUGUAGGUGGAUAAUUUAAUAUUUGUGCCUUGCUUAAUACAUUUACAUGUCAAACACAUGUCUGUCAGUGAUAUACACAGGUAGGAGACACAAUACAAGCCAAGAAUUGCAUUGGAAAAACAAAAUAAAUAUGAGACUAAAAUCAUAUUUGCAUAAUAAUUUGGAAUUCAGUGUAAAUGUUGUCUGUGAUUUAAUGCUGUUGUUUUGUUUGUAGGCCCUAGGGGAGACCACUGUCAGUGUUCAGAGGGCAAAGGCCAAGGGCUUCCUUAACAUAGCAAAGGAUGGCGGAGUCCUACGGUUUUGCUGUCUUCUCCAUGACAUCAUCUUUCAAUUGAGCAACCUUUCCAAGUCACUGCAGAAGUCAGCAGUAACCCUGGCUGAGGCUCAUAGCUGCCUGUCCUCCACUCAGGCUGUCAUAAAAAAGUACAAGUCAAGGUAUAGAAUAGAAUACUUUUUUUCAUUCUGCCCAUGAGACAUGAAAAGAACAAAAUGCAGAACUCAGGUCUCGGUAUAAUGAUAGAUAAAAACAAUAAAUACUAAUUAAAAUCACCAUCUAAAAUAUGGUGAGUAUGUAUUAUGUAUAUGUAUGUAUAAGAUAUGUAUCAUAUGUCAUACAAUUCAUUAUUUGAUUUUAGGUUGUGUUAGUGUGUUUUCACACUUUUUUCACAAUAUGUAUGUAAAGAUAGAUAAUUAAUCAAACCCAUCCAUUCAUCUCUGCACAACUGUAGACCCGGGCCUAAGCUGAGAGCAGCACUGGAGACGGACAUCUAUGAGGGAGUCCUUCUGAAACCGACAAAGCCUGACCAGCAUGACAAGUCCAAGAAUGAUCUCAUAGAUGCCAUGUGCCAGUGCAUCACUUCUAGGUUUGCCGAUGUAAACAGUGGUGUCCUGAAGGCAAUGCGACUGAUACAUUUCCAGUGCUGGCCAGAGACAGACACAAGUGCAGAUUUUGGUGAUGAUGAUGUAGACCAGGUUAUUAGUCACUUCCGACCUCUUCUACUGACAGCUGGAGUGGAUAUUGACUUGAUUCCAGAUCAAUGGACCAUUCUGAAAACACAACUUUACACUGCAGGUUUCAGCCAAGGUACUGUUGAA